UACGGCCACAUCUCGUUGAAGCUCCGAUUCCCGUACGAUUACUGAAGUUAAGUUACGUUGACCUUAGUCAGUACCUAGAUGGGUGACCGCUUGGGAAUACCAGGUGCUGUAAU